UGCGCAUAUUUUAACGCAUGUUUCUUACGACGAGUGCCUUGGAAACGGUCGCUUAAAGGGGUCUACUCAAAAAUAGCUUUGACGACCUUGGAACGCGGGCGUGUAUGAAAGCACCCUUGACGAUGUAAACAAGUGAUGCACCACGUUCUUCAAAACAGGAAAUACGAACGGUCAGAAAUUCAGAGUGCUUUCUUCAUUUUUCGCAUAAAAGUCUAAAAGGAGAAAAAUAUACAUGAUUUAAGCAUAACAUUUAAAAAAAGAAUAUAUAAAUACUGACAAAGUCACAUGUAUGACGUCGACGGUAUUUGGUGCCGCUUCGCUCCCAAAACGCAUUCUCAUCUUACACGGUCGCCU
rnacentral:lncRNA from 1 species